rnacentral:rRNA from 1 species
AUUGAACGCUGGCGGCAGGCUUAACACAUGCAAGUCGAGCGGGGUGAUGGUGCUUGCACUAUCACUUAGCGGCGGACGGGUGAGUAAUGCUUAGGAAUCUGCCUAUAGUGGGGGACAACAUCUCGAAAGGGAUGCUAAUACCGCAUACGUCCUACGGGAGAAAGCAGGGGAUCACUUGUGACCUUGCGCUAAUAGAUGAGCCUAAGUCGGAUUAGCUAGUUGGUGGGGUAAAGGCCUACCAAGGCGACGAUCUGUAGCGGGUCUGAGAGGAUGAGCCGCCACACUGGGACUGAGACACGGCCCAGAUUCCUACGGGAGGCAGCAGUGGGGAAUAUUGGACAAUGGGGGGAACCCUGAUCCAGCCAUGCCGCGUGUGUGAAGAAGGCCUUAUGGUUGUAAAGCACUUUAAGCGAGGAGGAGGCUCUUUUGGUUAAUACCCAAGAUGAGUGGACGUUACUCGCAGAAUAAGCACCGGCUAACUCUGUGCCAGCCGCCGCGGUAA